AAGUCGUAACAAGGUCUCCGUAGGUGAACCUGCGGAGGGAUCAUUAACACGUUUCCAACGUUACCAACCAAACGCGAACUCGAAACCCCGACCUGAAAGGAAAUAAUCGUUUAAAUUCUAUUAGUGAUGGGCUUUCUUUAUUGAAAGCGAUAGAAUUAUAAAACUCACAUAGCUCGACUAUGAAGGUUAUUUCUCUCUCAGGUUUAAACCCCAUUCUUUUCAUCACAGGAAUAAACAAAACCCCUUUCACCCCCUAUGAUAAUUGACUGAUAAACCAUUUGACUGGGAGAAAUCAUGUUAAAUGAUUAAACAAACUAAAGCACAACUCUUAGCAACGGAUCUCUUGGCUCCA
rnacentral:misc_RNA from 1 species